rnacentral:misc_RNA from 1 species
AGGUACGCAGCCGCUUUCCCGCAGCACCCCCAAACCCCCACACAUACACAUGCGCAGAGCGGAAAGGCAAUAAAGCAAGAAGUCGCUUCCUUAUUUCUCUUCGCGCACCCUCCUCCGAUCCAACACCAACACUGCCAUGCGUUAGUACCAUUGAGUAGAACACAAAAGCUCGCACAGACUUCGCACUCCUUUUUCUCACAUUCUCCACCCUCUCAGCUCUCGUCCUGGGCUUCUCUUUCGGCCUGUUCGUUGUCUUCUUCCCUUGUGAGUGCGUUGCUUGUCCUCCUCUCUGUCUCUACACAUACAUACAGGCGCUGAGAAGCGACUAUGGACGCUCUAUCUGUGCGUCAGCACCAGAACCAUGUGCAUCAGGCUGACAGCCUUGUGCCGACGCGCACGGCUGUGCUGCACCUCCGCCCCGCCCCGACCGCGGAGGAGGCAGAGCGGGCGCAGCGGCAGCACGACAUGCGUGUCACGUGGAGCCCGGACGUGCGCGAGCCUGUUAACCAACACGUGAGCAAGUGCUGCUGCGUUUUCCACAAGAAGAAGCUCUUUGGAGAGAGUAGCAGCGACAGCAGCUCAAGCAGCACCGACAGCAGCGACGAAGACGCCGACAGCAAGGAUGCUGGCACCACCGGUCCCGGCGGCGACAGCGCGGGGUGUGUGGGCCACCAGGGAGGGCGCGGGCAUGAUUGCCAGCACGCUCAUCAUCACCCGCCACGCAAGCAGCGCCCCCAGUGCACGAAGGAGCACUGCUAUUGUGGUACUCGUUUCCAUUAAGCGAAGGACCGAGCGCCGCCACAGUGGGAGAGAAACAUAGAGGCGACGAUCCGGCGAAAGGCGAGAGGUGCUUGUGCGAUGUACGCCGUCUUGCGCCCUGCGCCGUCCAGCACAGGAGGAGGUCGGUGAAAGGCAGCCCUACUCAUGCCUCUUGGCCCUUCCCUCUCCCCCUUCCCGCUUGCACGUCAUCCCUGACCAAGUCUGCGCCAUCAACCUUCCUUCUGCCCCUCCUCUCUGUAGCCCGGCGCGCGUGCUCGUCUGCGUUCAUGCGCUGCUCUCUCUCUGUGGUUGUGCUCCUAGGAAGAGCUUCCGGUACAUCUAUCCACUCACACCCGCACCCCGCCUGCACUCCCAACGACUGCUGCACUUGCGUGGUGCGGGUGAUCCUUGUCGUCUUUUCUCCCCACCCCCAUCCCUUCCUGUCUGCGGCUGCGGCGUGCAGAUAGGAUAGUCCAUCGCAUUCAUGCCCUGCUGCCUAACCCCACCCACCCACCAUUGUCGUUGCUAUGCGAGCCAGCUCUGCUGCUUCUAUGCUGUUAUCUUACCUUGUAUUGUAGUGUAACCGUGCCGCGUCAGCAGGGACAACAUCAACAAAACCCCUCAAAAAAAUUUGAAAACGGAAGUCAAUACGUUAAACGGUGCUCUCCUUGGCCUUGCUGCCUCCCCCUUCUCUCUAUGCGUGUGUGUGUGUGUUCCGAUGCGUCCCUGCUGCUUGUGCAGGUGUGUCGCACGUUUCUUGUCUCUCGCAUUCCCUCUCCCCCUUUCUAUGCCUCUGCACUCUCUCGUUGGGUUUCGCUCUCCUCGCCCCCCUCCCUUCGCCUUUUACCGCUUCAUGCGGUGGCGGUUGAUGCCGAUGCGGUGAUGUAAGCGAGCGGGCGGGCGGAGGGGCGGGGGAGGGGGACGACGCCUGUCAGCUCUGCGAUGGUGAUGAUGAUUGACGAGCCUGGCAGGUGUCGGUGCCGGUGCGUGACUCUACCGUUUGCCGAUUUUUGUGCAUGUGUAUUUCUCGUACACACACACACGCGCGCGCGCGAGAGAGGGAGGGCGUGAAAGAGGGAUCGAAGUGUGGAGAUGGAUCAGCGGGCGGCGUGCAGAAUGGUCGCCACAGGUGCGUGGAGCGAAACCCAAAGAGUGAGAGCGCAAGUUGAGGAUUGGCGCGCGCGCGCGCACACACACACACACACUCAUCCAUGCAAUCGAUUCAUGCAGAGAGGCCAACGCGAGAGCGAUAGAGAACAUCCAACACUGCAUGAGAUGCAGCAUCGCGUUCGUUGGCGACGACAUGACCAACGAUGCCCCAAAAAGCAAACAAGAAGAAGGAAGAAACAAGGCUGCACACGUCUACGUGUUCUGUGUUGCUGUCAGUGCGCUUGCUCCGGCUAUAUAUAUAUAUAUAUGUGUGUGUGUAUGUGUAUGUGUGGGUGGGUAAGCUGCGCCAGCGUGUCUGCGUUCGUGUGCGUGUGUGUGCACGGGGAGUGAGCAGGGGCGGUGCGCGCACUCUUUCAAGCACACAACAAUAGACGCGCACACACGCAUGCACAGGCACCAAAGGACCACGGCGACGACGAUGGCCCGUGUGCCGGUCGGAAAAAAAGACAGAGGCCAGCCUACCUCCCGACGCUACCGAUGAUGGGCACACGCUCAAUCUAGGCUCCGUGCAUCCACCGCGCUAGCCUCCCUCCGACAUGAACGACGCAUCAGCCUAACCACCAAACCACCCCCUCGCUGCUGGUUGAGGACUCCAUCCUCAUCCCAUUUCAGUUUCUUCUUUACCUCUCCCCCUUUUUGCUACUGCCCCUGCGGCUCUGUUCCGGUGCCCUUCAUCUUCUCCUGGGUGCAUGUGCAUGUGCCUGUGUAUGUGUGUGUAGGCACCUGCCUAAACCUUCCUCUUCUCGUGCGUCCUUGCUUUCGAAAGGAAAGCCAGAGGUGCGUGCAGGUCCACUUCCGCUCUGGCGCCAG